rnacentral:rRNA from 1 species
CCUACGGGUGGCAGCAGUGAGGAAUAUUGGUCAAUGGUCGGGAGACUGAACCAGCCAAGCCGCGUGAGGGAUGAAGGUACAGUGUAUCGUAAACCUCUUUUGUCAGGGAACAAAGUCGGGGACGUGUCCCCGGAUGAGUGUACCUGAAGAAAAAGCAUCGGCUAACUCCGUGCCAGCAGACGCGGUAAUACGGAGGAUGCGAGCGUUAUCCGGAUUUAUUGGGUUUAAAGGGUGCGAGGGCGGCCUUUUAAGUCAGCGGUAAAAGCCCGGGGCUCAACCCCGGCCUGCCGGUGAAACUGGGAGUCUCGAGUUGGAGAGAAGUAGGCGGAAUGCGCGGUGUAGCGGUGAAAUGCAUAGAUAUCGCGCAGAACUCCGAUUGCGAAGGCAGCCUGCCGGCUCCACACUGACGCUGAGACACGAAAGCGUGGGUAUCGAACAGGAUUAGAUACCCUGGUAGUC